rnacentral:tRNA from 1 species
GGAGAGAUGGCUGAGUGGUUGAGAGCACUGGUUGUCUUUCCAGAGGACCUGGGUUCAAUUCCCAGCACCUACA